rnacentral:lncRNA from 1 species
UUGGCUCACUGCAACUUCUGCCUCCCAGGUUCAAGUGAUUCUUCCGCUUCAGCCUCCUGAGUAACUGGGAAUACAGUUUGGUUAGCCUUCUCCUUGUUGUUAGGAUGAAGUGCUGACUCCCAAGCUUCGUGCUUGCUGGACUGGAAAUUGGAAGUCUGCCUGCCAGUUUUAAGAACCUAAAAAGUGAUGAACUGAAAAUGUCAGCCUGAGCUGACCAGCGCUUAUCCUCAUGUGACCUUGGGUGAAUUAAUGGACAUCUCUGAACCUCCAUUUUCUCCUGUGUAAAAUAGCAGCUGCAGCAAAAAUGAAAUAUCAAUAAUCUCUGAAAAGAAUUUAGCUCAGUGUUUGGUGAAGAUUGCCUCUCCUGAAGUCUAGAAAAGGGCUGGUUUGGUAUGUAUUCAAAAUCUAAAUGUUCUUUUGAAACAGCAACUGAGAAACACUGUAUUGAAAUUAAAGUGGCAGUUUAGAAGAAGUUUAAAAAGCUGAGAAAGUAUGGAUUUUGCGAUGAUCAGGGGUAAUCUCGCCACCUGCAAGAGAAAACAAACAUCCUGCUAUGUUUUUUGCUUUGCUGUAAUCACUUCGACAUCUAGCCCGUAAGUGAACAAAGAUGGGAAAAGAUUGGCAAGGAUCAAAAUAGAAUUGGAGAAGAGUUUCAAGAAGAGGUCAAUGGAGGGGGACAGCUUAUCAGUUCUGGAUGGAACCUGGUCAUGAACACAUAUGGAGAAGACUGACAG